UGUUAUCAAAGCUGCGGAAUUUUUGUUUUAAAGGUAACCCUUUUUCCCUCAAUAAUCGAUCUACAUUUAGGGUUUUCUUUCAAUCAAAUUGGGGAUUUUUUUAAUCGAUGGUUAAUCUUCUUUUUUUUUCUUUUUGCAUGUUAGGGUCGAUAAUUUUGUAGAAAAAGUUAUGCAUGUUAGGGUUUGUACUUCAUUUGUGGGGAUUCUAUUUCACGGUUUAUUAGUUUAAUUCACGGUUUA
rnacentral:lncRNA from 1 species